AAGCGCUUGCAGCCAGACUUGCCUGUAGUUGCUCAUCCGGGCUCUUGCCCGGUGCACUCUUCUGCGGGCAGGCCAGCAUCAGUUCGAGCGGCCGGAUAAAGACCUCUGUCACGUAUCUCGCUUCGGUGAGACCUUAUAGGGGAGGUGUAAUGCGGCCAGCUCGGAUUGAGGUCCGCGCAUCUGCUAGGAUGCUGGCGUAAUGGCUGUAAGC
rnacentral:rRNA from 1 species